AUUAUAACCCUAGAAUUUACCUUUGAAAUUAUACUAGUUGGACUUUCUAGGAUGUUUUCUCACAGUUAGAGUUAGGACUCUGUGUAAGAUCCACUUUGUGGUUUUAGCCUUCGCUUUUGUGUGAUGUAGUGGACUGGAAUAUCCCUUUUGAAGAUGUAUAUAUUGUAAAUGGUACUUUUGGAGAUGUAUAAAUGUGAAUAGUAUCUUUUGGUAUCAUGAUUC
rnacentral:lncRNA from 1 species